rnacentral:misc_RNA from 1 species
UACAUAUCUUAUUUGCUCAGAAGUAUAUUUAUCAUAAUAUUAUUUGUAUACAUGCAUACAAAGCCAUAUAAUAAUAUAUUCCAAAACAACAACAACAGGAAAAAAUAAACUUUAACAGGGAUUGAUAGUUAAUGACAACUUCAUAUACUCAAAGGGUGAGGUGUUCCACCUUUCUUGUGUUACUAGCUACUCCUUGAUUUGAUUUUCUCUCGUCUUGCUCGUCGUAGAUGUUCCCUUUGUAGCUAGAGCUAGCCUCUUCGUUAUCCGAGCAGCCUGGUCUUUCUGUAAGGAACUGUUCCCAAAAGACAUCGUUCACACGAACAGGAGCAGCUGCAGGCACUUGCUUGUUGGUAGUUGCAUCAUGUGAAGGUGGCAAAGAUUUGUCAUCAGUAGGAGGGAUUUUGUCAUUGGCAUCAGACUGUGAUUCGAAACAUUUACCUAUCUCUUGACCUAUUUGAGGCAUCCUCGCUGAGUAUUGAUUUUUAUCGACUUGUGAAAGACAUGAAGCCAAAGAAAGAUUCAGUUGGCAGGAAAUGUGACCGUCAACUUCCUCGUUGGAUGUCAGGCUUUGUGGCAAGGAAUGCAGUCUUGAGCUUUCAGCAUUGCUUGAAGCAUGAGGUAGAGAUGAAUCCAUCUUCAACAUAAAAGACGUCCCUGUAUCUGAUAGUUCUAUUGCUUCAGGGGUAUAAAUAGCUCCUACCGUCCGAAGUUGCACUUCUCUGGACCAUCCUUCAGAUAUUCUCCUAUGUGCAGGGCUUCCGCCAUCUUCAUUCGAACUUUGGGUGCUGCAUGAAAGCACAUUGAUAUCUGAAACAGCAGGUGACAAUUCAAGCCUGAGCUUAUUUGAGAAGUCUUGAUGGGAAAGGUUCCCAAACUCAACUCUAGAACUGCUAUGGUUGUCCACCGACAUACUUUCUUGGACUGGUUGAGUGCUAUCGAUUUGAGGCAAUCGUCUCUUCUUACUAAAUGCAGAAAUAUCCAUGGACUCGAGUUUCUGAGCAAGACGCUCAACAAAGUCAGGAUUUUGAAUUGCCUUCUCAACAAAUAUCAGUAAACUCUCUUGUCUUUGCUCUAUACUGCCAACCCGCCCAGUCAGUUCUUCUAGCUGGAGUUUUGCAGCAGAUUGUUGCUGUCUGAACCUUGAGACAUUAGCCUCGAGUCCAGACUUCUCACGUGUAAGUUUAUCAAUCUCUUCCUCAAAUGCAGCUCUUUCUGGAUCAACUGUGGAACCUGGAGGGUGACUAUGACUGUGAAUGGGUUUUCUACGAUGGAUGUUCUUAAGUAGAUGCUUCUGGUCCUUCAAGAAUUCCUCAUUGGCAAAUUCCCAUCUUUCUGGAUCAAUCUUCCGGAAGCCGUAAGUAUUGAGCUGUCGAAUGAAACUGGAGAAAUUGUUGUGUUUGAAAUAAGUAGGAAGAAGAAUUCGAGCGAAUUCUGGAGGAUUCCAAACGACGAAGCUGUGACCAGUCGGAGUCCAUGAUACGAUGUCAUCAGUUUGCGAAUCAUCCACCAUCUCAUAUGUCUUCGACAAGAACGGCGCCGGACCUCCACCGCCGCCGGCCGCCACCGCCGCUGAAAUCACAUCCAUUUUAUUGAACUGAGAGAAAUACGCCGGCGCCUGUGUUGAUGCUGUCCCGUGUUCUUUGAUCUUCCCCCUUUGUGUCCACUGGCCCUGAAAUCUCGUCUAAACCAUGAACUGUCUCGGCUUGAAGAUGGGUCAUAUUCGUCACGGUCAUGCUGCCAGCUCUGGAAAAACUGUUCAGCAAAUCCAUUCACACUCUCAAACAGUGCCUUCCUUGAGUUAAGCUUCCUAUAUCUUCUGGAGAAGAAUGAUUUCCUUGAUGAGCCUUUAUUGGCACUUUUUCCAGAAUCCCAAUGUGUGCGUCUUCUGCGUUCCAAGAUUGGGGAAGAAUGAAAAAGAGAGGCCCUUAUGUGAAUAGGGUUAACCUGAGAGCUGAUUAACGCCGCCCUAUUCAUUGCCGGAGAUUCAUGUAAAACAACAAACAAACAAACAAAUUCAAUUUCAUAUGAAAAUGUUGUGCUCUUUCCUUUGGUUUAACGUAUG